GCCCCAAAAAUGGGAGGAAAAUACCCCUGCGGCCAGGCAAAGCGCGAUACACUGCGCGAAACGUCCGUAGCCGCCAUUCAUCUGCAGGAGCCUGUCCGCCCCAGCACCCCACUUGUUUGUCCUGAAUGAAGGAUUGAAUAAAGAGCAACACUUUUGAACGC